rnacentral:rRNA from 1 species
GACGAACGCUGGCGGCGUGCUUAACACAUGCAAGUCGAACGGAAAGGCCCUUCGGGGUACUCGAGUGGCGAACGGGUGAGUAACACGUGGGUGAUCUGCCCUGCACUUUGGGAUAAGCCUGGGACACUGGGUCUAAUACCGAAUAUGAUCAUCGGCUUCAUGGUCGGUGGUGGAAAGCUUUUGCGGUGUGGGAUGGGCCCGCGGCCUAUCAGCUUGUUGGUGGGGUAAUGGCCUACCAAGGCGACGACGGGUAGCCGGCCUGAGAGGGUGACCGGCCACACUGGGACUGAGAUACGGCACAGACUCCUACGGGAGGCAGCAGUGGGGAAUAUUGCACAAUGGGCGCAAGCCUGAUGCAGCGACGCCGCGUGAGGGAUGACGGCCUUCGGGUUGUAAACCUCUUUCAGCACAGACGAAGCGCAAGUGACGGUAUGUGCAGAAGAAGGACCGGCCAACUACGUG